rnacentral:misc_RNA from 1 species
GAUGAAGAACGCAGCGAAACGCGAUAAGUAAUGUGAAUUGCAGAAUUUAGUGAAUCAUCGAAUCUUUGAACGCACAUUGCGCCCGCCAGUAUUCUGGCGGGCAUGCCUGUUCGAGCGUCAUUUCAACCAUCAAGCCCUGCUUGUGUUGGGGUCCUGCGGCUGCCCGCAGGCCCUGAAAACCAGUGGCGGGCUCGCUAGUCACACCGAGCGCAGUAAUACAUCUCGCUUUGGUCGUGCGGCGGGUUCUUGCCGUUAAACACCCCCCUUUCCAAAGGUUGACCUCGGAUCAGGUAGGAAUACCCGCUGAACUUAAGCAUAUCAAUAAGCGGAGGA